AUUGAACGCUGGCGGCAGGCCUAACACAUGCAAGUCGAGCGGAUGAAGGGAGCUUGCUCCUGGAUUCAGCGGCGGACGGGUGAGUAAUGCCUAGGAAUCUGCCUGGUAGUGGGGGAUAACGUCCGGAAACGGGCGCUAAUACCGCAUACGUCCUGAGGGAGAAAGUGGGGGAUCUUCGGACCUCACGCUAUCAGAUGAGCCUAGGUCGGAUUAGCUAGUUGGUGGGGUAAAGGCCUACCAAGGCGACGAUCCGUAACUGGUCUGAGAGGAUGAUCAGUCACACUGGAACGGAGACACGGUCCAGACGCCUACGGGAGGCAGCAGUGGGGAAUAUUGGACAAUGGGCGAAAGCCUGAUCCAGCCAUGCCGCGUGUGUGAAGAAGGUCUUCGGAUUGUAAAGAACUUUAAGUUGGGAGGAAGGGCAGUAAGUUAAUACCUUGCUGUUUUGACGUUACCAACAGAAUAAGCACCGGCUAACUUCGUG
rnacentral:rRNA from 1 species